rnacentral:rRNA from 1 species
GCUCCAAUAGCGUAUCUUAAUGUUGUUGCAGUUAAAAAGCUCGUAGUUGAAAUUCUGGACCGGGUAGGUCUCCUCUGGAGCACCAUCACCGAGUUCAUCCGUCUGGGGACAGGACCGGUAAUUAAUUUUGCCCCCUGUACAACCAGGCAUUUUUACUUUGAAGAAAUUAGAGUGUUUCAGGCAGACUUUCGUUUGAAUAC